CUCUUUUUGCAAGUUCCCGUCCCCCCCAAAAAUUGAAAUAACAAAAACCAAAAAAAGAAAAUCUCAUAAAACAAAAAAAAAUAUAAGACGAAAAGAAGAAGAGAGAAACGAGUGCUUCCUGUGUAGUUGUUCCUCCUCCUCCUUUUUUCUGUUCUUCUUUUGUUCUGUCUCGUCUUGUGUUCUCCGCUCAUCUUCGUCUUCUUCAGUUUCUCGUUUCCUCACUCACCUUGACACACACUCACUCACUCACAUACACACAUACAUACACACGGACACACACAACAUAACACGCACACAUCGCUCUCGCGUCUUGCCUGUACUCACGUGCGGUGUGUCCGUAACCUUCUGUCUCUGUCCACCUCCCUCUCCGUUAUUUCGCCUCGUCUCCUGGAAGGGGGUCUUGGGUGCCGUAUAGUUACGUCUUUCAGAGGCUACAGUUGUAUUUAUUUUGCCGUUUCUGUUUUCCGUCGGCUCCUCCACGUGUUCUGUGUUGUCAUCAUCGUCCUUUGCUACAUCUCCGUUCUCGGCUUUUCUAACGUAAGGAAUAGUAUAUAUAUAUAUAUAACCGAACAAGUAUAUAAAGGUGAAACAGCCAACCAUGGCCUUUACUGGUCCGAAUCCCUCAAUCUGGGUCGGUGGCCUGGACCCGGAUCUGCAGGAGCAGAAGCUAUACGACUACUUUGUGCGCAUCGGCCCCGUCACCUCCGUCCGCGUAUGCGUCGACUCUGCCACGCAGAAGUCCCUCGGGUACGGUUACGUAAACUUCCAGGACCCCGCGGAUGCUGAGAAGGCGCUGGACCAGGCCGGCUCCAAGCUCGGCUCUCGCUACCUCCGCAUCGCCAAGAUCCAGCGCGACCCCUCGAAGCGCCGCUCCGGCGUCAACAACAUCCUUGUCAAGAAACUUCCAAAGAGUGUCGACACGUACGCGCUGAAGGAGAUGUUCAGCAAGUUCGGCCGCCUCACCGCGAUCGGCCUGGCGUGCGACGAGAAGGGCGAGUCUCGCGGCUACGCCCGCAUCUCCUUCGAGCGCGAGGAGUCCGCCGUGGACGCCGUGAGGGAGAUGGACGGGAUGGAGAUGGACGGCCAGGCGAUCGUUGUGGAACGCUACCAGGCCCAACACCGUGACGAGCUGCUGAAGCAGUUCACCAACCUGUACGUCAAAAACCUCGAUCCCGCUGUCACGGACGAAAAGCUGCGCGCGUUCUUCGCCAAGUACGGCGAAGUCAGCUCCGCGAAGGUCCGCGACCUCGGCGCGGUUCAGAGCGAGGCCGGUCUCGGCUACGUCGCCUUCCAGAAGCACGAGGACGCCGCCCGCGCUGUUGAGGAGCUGAACGGAAAGGAGUGUGAGAUCUCCAAGGCCGGCUCCCCUCUCGACGUGAGCCGCUUCCGCUCUCGCGAGGAGCGCCAGCGCGACCGCGAGCGCCAGCGCCGUGAGCGCGCGCAGCAGCACAGCAAGUACCCGAACCUGUACGUCAAGGGCUUUGACGACACUGUCACGAGCGAGCGCCUGGAGGAGCUGUUCCAGCGCUACGGCGAGACGGUGUCGGUGACAGUGAUGAUGGACAAGGAGACGGGCGUGUCGCGCUGCUUCGGCUUCGUGUCCAUGAAGGACCAGAACGCCGCCUCGCAGGCCAUUCAGGAGCUGAACGGCAGCACCUUUCUCAGCCCCCGCCCGCUCUUCGUCACGUACGCCCUUCGCAAGGAUGCGCGCCGCCAGAACCUCGAGGAGCGCAGCAAGCAGUUCCGCGUGCGCCAAAACCCGAUGGGCGGCCCGGGCAUGGGUGCCAUGCCACCCAUAGGCUUCAUGGGCCCGCAGAUGUUCAACAACGUCAACAUGCCAUUCAUGAACCCGCGCGUGCCGAUCAUGCCGAUGAACGGAAUGAACGGAAUAGGCGGCAUGAACGGUAUGGGUGGCAUGAACGGCGUGGGCGGUGUGGGAGGUAUGGGCGGGAUGGGCGGGAUGGGCGGCAUGGGAGGUAUGGGCGGCAUGGGCGGCAUGGGCGGCAUGGGAGGCAUGGCCCGCCCAAUGGCGCCGAACGCUAUGAGCCAGAUGCGCUCUCGCCCGAUGCCGCAAAAGCCGCCGAUGCAGUCUCUGAUGCCACAGCAGCACCAGCAGGCGCCUCCGCAGGGCCAGAACCUCGCUGCGGUGCUCGCGAACCUCAACCCUGAGCAGCAGAAAAAUGUGCUCGGUGAGCGUCUCUACAGCUACAUUGUGCGCAGCCACCCGUCUGUGGCCGCCAAGAUCACGGGUAUGCUUCUCGAGAUGGACAACUCCGAGAUUCUGAACAUGCUGGACUCGCCAACGAUGCUGGACAGCAAGAUCGCCGAGGCCCAGGACGUUCUGAACCGUCACAUGAGCGUUUGAGUCAGCGUCUAACCAAACGUACGCCGCCAGGUUUGUCUGUCUUGCUCGCUCGCACACCCGUGCAUGCAGGCCCGCGCUCUCGCGUAAGCGCGUGCUUAUCGCCUCGUUCUGCGUUGCCUCUAGAGGCGUGCAAUGAGGCAAGCGAGGCCCACGGAAGGCACAGACGAAAGGGCGUCACGGAAAGUCGCGCUCCCACCAAAACACGCUCGAUGAACGAGAGAGAAUCACAAGAACUUCAACAAGUAUUUGCACUCGUCUCGGACCCCCUCUUACUCUCUUCUCGGGCAGCGGAGGCAGGCUCACCUGCGACGCGGUGGUGGUCUGCCACAGUGCUGCUUGCGGGCUUUUAAGGACGAAGAGGGGAGGGGGAGGGAUGCUCGUGGCGCAUAGAAUUUCCUGAGCGAGGACGCGGGCGCGUGACUUUCGUUCAGGGUCUUUCAGGGGAGAAAGACACGCCGUUGGCUGUCCAGAGCAUCUUUGUGGUUGUGCUUCUGAGGGGAUGAAGACGCGAUGCAGGCACUCUACUCCCGUGCUUGACGCCGAGAAGGGGACCGCGAAUGAUAGAGAUGAUGGCAAACAAACAAAAACAGGCAAGCAUGGGGCGGUGUGGCGAACACAGCAAAAAGCAUCUUGACCUCCAUCUUCUCAGCUGCCUCCUCUACCCCCCCCCCCCCGCGGUGCAUGCAUCCCCUGCCCUGAGGGUCGGGCAAAGAGAAAGCAGCGGCUACAGGACACAUUUCUUUCUAGGCUCUUUUUGUUUUCCAUCUCUUUUUCUUCAGCUCCGCCACGACCCCCGCCCGUUCCUCUGCAACUACGCCGUAGAAGGGCAGCACUUCUCCCUCCUUCUUUUCAUGGUUUGUGUGUGUAUGUGAGGGGAGUGGCGCUGUUCCUCUCCCAUCUUUGUGUGUUCUGCAGCUCCGCCUCUGCCGGUCGCCGUUUUUAUUUUCGUUUUCUCCCUUUACCGCGCGCCUUUUCAGAUAUUGGCGUCUCCUCUCUCUCUCCUCUUUUCUUUCGCCUUCCGGCAGAUUAGCGAAGACAAGGCAAUGUGAGUGGCAGCAUAGAAGAACAAAAAUGAAUAGUGUGUGCGAGGCUCUUUUUCUGCAUGUUCUCUCUACCGUGAAGGUAGUUUGGCCAGUAAUUUCCCUUCUCGCUUGCGCCUUUGCUUUUGUUUUUGUUGUGUGUUUGUGUGUGCGUGUGUGUGAGCGUGUGCACGUGAGUGUGCGUCUGCGCUUCGAGGGGGAAACGAAAAACAACAUAAAAAAAGAAACAGGAAUGAUGCUGAGGAGGAAAAUUCGAAUCAAGAAUGAAGACGCCAAUAUCGGAUUUAUUUCCUAUAUGAUCUACACGUUUUUUUUCCCUGGGGGGUUUCUUUUCCUUUCUUUUCGGGAAUUCUCACAGGCAAAAAGAAAGCAGGAAUAAGAAAAGAGCAUUUCUGUGGGAUUCCCCCUCUCUCUAUAUUUAUAUAUAUGCAUGUUUUGCUGUAGUUUUCAUGUCUUUUUUUUUCCCUCUCUCUCCCUCUCUCUUUGACCAGUGUAGCACAUGCAAAAAGGGUGUGCACUUGCGUGUGCGAGUGUCUGUGUGUUUUUCUACUUCGCGAGCUCUUUCUCCCUUCGUGCUGGUGUGCAUGUGUGCGUACGUGCGUUGUGGUCUCUGCCGAUUUCUGUCCCUUGGGCUGUGCCUGCGCGCACUUUAGCGUCGCUUCGCGGCUGUGCGUGAGGAAGGCGAUGGCGCCGUAUGUUCUGUCGCUAGCAUGCGAGAACUGAAGAGCACCACCUAAAUGCAUAUACACACAGACUCGAACGUUUUCUUGGGAUGUGUGUGCGUGUGUGUGGGGGGGGGGAGCAGAUGCGACGGCAGCAACAGAGGCUAACGCGGCGAGUGCGAGACACGCACGCUACAGGGUGACGAGGUGAGGUUCGGCGCUUCCUCGCAUCCCAACGCCGCCCAAUCCCCGCCCUUUUCCCGUCCCCUUCCCUCACCCCCUCCUCUGCGUUACUCCUUCAAGGAUCGACCCACGAAUAGAGGCCGAACUGCUACUCUUGUUUUUCACCUUGGUCUCCUACGUUACCUCCUUUUUUUUUCGUGUGUUCCAGGCGGCGUACAUUGCUUUGUUGCCUUGUCUCCUCUUUCGACACUCACGCCUGCCUCUCCUCUCGCGCCCCAGCUUCCCUUUUUCCCACGUCCUUCCACACGACCUCACCGCCCAUCACAUCGCUUUCGCUUCCACCUCCCAUUUCGCGCUUCGUGCGGAAUCUGGACGGUUGCUAUCCCUUGGCUUUGUCCCGCCCUUCUCUUCGUCUGUGUGUGCCUGUGCGCGUCGUCUUUUGUGCUUUUCACUUUUCGUACUUCUUUUUUUGCUCUGGGCUUCUCGCACGUUGUGUGAUUCCCUCUCGCACCCCGUUUUUAUUGCCCGGUUGCCUUCGCCGCUCUUUGUUUUCUUUUUCUCUCCUGCCAGCUAUCGAACUGCAGGGCCGCCCUUCUUUCCUCAUACACGCACAAGCGCUCUACCUUUGUGGGCUGCGGGUGUACUUGUGUGCGCGCUGCCCAAGGACGGUGGCGGCAGCGAUGACGCCAAGCCAAAAGUACAGAGGGAACGCAGAAAUGUGGCACGCGAACCAAAGGAGGGACACUUCAGUGUCGACGAGGGGCGUGAGACAGAGAAGGGAGGGGAAAGGAUUAGUGCGCAGCGACUGGCGAAAAAAAAACGCGUCGAUAUGUUGGGAAGGAAAAUAUUGUUGUGACCAGCGAUACGAUGGCGGCUGGUAGAUCAAAGUAGCAGUGCGCUAUGGGGGUGAACAACGGAGGACGAGCGAGAGAGACAGAUCCCCAAACAAGCAAAAGAAAGAGGGAAAGAGACAUGAGCACACACGUUUGCGUUUUUUUCUUUUCGUCGUUGUGACCCUCUUUCCCACAUUCACUCAGACAUACACACCUUGUCUCUCUCUCGCGUGUGCUACUUCCUCCUGUUUCUUUGCUUCAUGUCACCCAUCUCGCUUGCUUAAUGAUGCCGGUGGGUGUGCUGCGGCGAGUGAAUGAGGCUGUUGUAACUCCCACGCUUUUUUGUUCGUUCCUGGGCGUGCGUUUGUGACUUCUUUUUCUUUUUGGUGUUGUUUCUCCCUUUUGUAUGUGCGUGUGUGUGUGUGUGUGCCGCGCCUUCAGCGUUGUGCGUGUGUCGUACGUUGCUCUUCGUUUUUCCCCCUUUUUCGCCUUCUGUUGUUUUCCUCCUUUUUUCUUAGCUUUUUCUUUCCACUUCCACGCACGCGAUGCAUCUCUUUCUUUUGUGGUUUUCCAGUAUUGUGUAUUUGCGUGCGUGCGCUUGUUUCUUUGCUUCCUUUCUAUGUAUCUCGAACUUCCUCUUUCUGUUCCCACCCCCAACCUCCUUCUUCUGUUGUGCUUCCCUGCUCGCCUCCUUGCCGUUGUUCCUCUACGCUACAUCUUGUGAAAGAAAGGGCAUUGAAAAGACAACGAGAACAAUCCCCCUUCACCCACCACAGAAAAACGAAAAAAACCCUGACGCCUUUCUUGAUAUGUUAAAGGGAAAGGGUGAGAGAGUUUGCUUCACUUUCUUGGUUGUUUUCUAGGAAGACGAUGGGCGUCUUUGCCUUGUCGUUUUUUUUUUUUUUACUUUCGGCCAUGCGCCUUUAAACGUGCCGUCGCGUUGCCCUGUCGUCUCUCGCUUGUUUCGUUUUUUUUUCUGUGUGCGUGUCUGUGUGUGUGUGUGCCGACUCUUCCGAUCAUCCGAACAUGCACAUCAAACAGAAGAGAGUAGUACUUCUUCGAAGGGAAGGAUGGAGCGAACAGUGGGUGACCUUCACUUCGUUUUCACGACACUGCGUAUGGGAGAGCGAAAGCCACAGACAUCCACGCUAAACGGUGCGAACGAGUUGAAGCGUCUAGCAGCAGAGCAGAUACCAGAGGUCGACAUACAGCAAAGAAAAGAGGCGUGCUGGCGCGCGUGACCGCGCACUCGAUGGCGAUGAAGCGUGUCCUCGUUUUCGCCUCUUUUUUUUUGGCGUGUGCGCUGCGCAUCGACGGCGCACAUGAAGGUGGCUGGGGUGCUCAGAAGACGGGGUCUUGCUUACAUGAGGAGAAAAAAAGAAAUAGUGAGGAAAACAAGGCGAAAUUGGGAAGAACAAGGGUGAAAAGCUUGAAGGUCGAGAAACAACCUCCGCGAUCUCCCGCAGGCGCCAGGGUUAGAUGAGUUGCGAUGCAGAAAAUCAUUGCAGUGUGAAGAGCCUAGAUAGAAGACGUAAAGAACGAAAACAUAAGGAAAGAUGUGGCGUAGAGGAAAAGAACGUCCCCCUUAAGCUUCUAAGCGAAGAUUUUGGGAAUGAUGUGAAGAAAAAAAAGUUACCACGAACAAGGUCCACACAAGCACACACACACACACACAUGCGCAAACAAACGCACUGAGUGAUGCGCGAAAAGCCGUCGCGAAACGCAGUGGACGAGUGAUGGUGAAGCAGCCGCCGAGACAGGGAGGGAAGGGGGAGGACGAUUGAAAGACAGAGGACGACGGAGGAGGACAGACAGCGCGUUAGUUGAGGGACGAAGCGACGAGUGCCGGUCAGCACGACUACCAGCUUCCAAGCGCGUCUCUUUAGUGCUCCAGCGAUGUACGUCUGUUUGGUGUCUCCGUCGUUUGCUCUCGUGAACGAGCGUUUUUUUUUUCAUUCAGUCGGUAUGUGCACCUCCCCUCUUUCACUCUUAUAUCCUUUCUUGUUCGUUUAUCUGAUGUUUUUGUGCGCGUGUGCGGCUUUGUUCUGUUCCUUUUGCCUUUUUUUCUUCGCUCGUUUGCUUCUCUCUCUCGCGUCACCAAGCGGUGCCUCUGACUAAGGUUUUCUUCUUGUUUUUGCCCUUCCUUUCUUUCCCUUUCUCGCAUAUGUAUCUCUCUGUAUGUGCGUGUGCGUAUGCUUGUGAUGGCGUGUCACUUUCUCCUGUGGCGUUUUUGUUGUAUUUUGAUGGCGAUGUUGGUUGGCUAGUUCGUUGAUUGGCUGUUUGGGUGGCCGGCUGGUUUUCCGCCUCCGUGAUUGCUUUGCUGAGCGGGACGUAAAAGGAAGAAAAAGGGAACUCUAAAGGCGCGCACACCUGCACACACACACACACACACAGUCGCAGACAUGUACACGAACGACAGAACGCAAAAAGCUUGUGCAGUGGCGAACGCACGUGCGCACUUGCGCCUCCGUAGGACAGCACUGCAACAACGACUUGACUGUAUCUUUUUUGCUGUUGUUCGUCCCUUGCCCUCCCUUCAUUCCCCACCGUCGUGGUGUUUCGUUGUUCUUCGGAAUAGACGCGCCAUCAAACCAGUGCGCGCAUUCAAUAGAGGACUGGAUUCAGGAAAGUGGAAGUGAUGGGGCGUACGGGUGGGAGCGGCAGGGGAGAGGGAGGGCAGAGGCCGUCUUUCUAGGAGCGCAGAAUCGACGAAACAAAGAAACCAAAAGACGAAGACAAUGCCGAUCUCAAGGAAGCGAGCAACGCGAGAAGGCGUGGGGCGUGGCUUUGGGCUUGUGUUUCUGUGCUGCAUGGGUACAUCAAUGGGAUCUUGUGCGCGUGAAUUUGUGGUCCUGUCGGUGUGUGUGUGUGUGUGUGUGUGUGUGCGUCUGUACGUGCGUGCCGGCGUGGCUGCGCGAGAGAGACAGAGGGUGGUGGUGGUGGUGCAUGACUAACCUUUUUAUGAAUCCGUAAAAAACAACAACAACAAAGGAAACGAAAUGAAC
rnacentral:misc_RNA from 1 species